GUUCCUCCACCCCUAAGCUACAUCCUCUCCUCUCUCUGCCACUCUUCCUGUGUGUUCGUCCAUGGUUUUGGCUACAGCUAAGCGCUAAGACCCAAUCCUCCAGCCCAAUUCUCUUUCCUGAGCUCCAGACCUAGAAAAACACCACCAGUUGUUGGGGAGCAGGAGGGGGGUGAGGUCAUGUCACUCUCCUUAUAAUCUCCUUAAAGAUCCCAGUGGUGCUCUACCCCCAAGUUCUUCAGACAAGAUGCUCUAUACCCUGGCCUGUGUUCUCUACCUUACCUUAAUCUCUACCCCCUCUGUGAUCUAACCACCCACUCCCUGCCACAUAACUGCUAUAUACUCUCUAUCCCCCACCCCACCCACCCCUGGCCCCUGUUCUCAUGCCUCAGGUCACUUCCUCCAGCCAGUUUCCUGACCCUCUGUUGUGGUGGGCACCACGUCUGGGUCCACAGCCCCUUCUGCUAAGUCUCUGAACCAAUCACUGUGCUCCAGUGCCUGUUCUUUCCCCCGAAAUCCCCUCACUUUACUGAAGACCUCUGCGCUGGAACCAGGGCAGGGAACACAGAAUCCAGGAGAGCCUUCAUUGCUCACCUCACCCUCCUCCCUUACCUACUACUCUACUCCUCGUUUUCUACAUGGGGAAAGGGAAGGCGAGACAGUAAGCCUGCCUUGCGAGUCAGGGUCAGAGAGGCAUGGAGAAAGUGGAGAGAAAGCUUCUUGGCUGGGGCAGGAGGCUCCCUGCAGGCUGGGACAGAGGCAGGCUACAGGUUAGAGCAAGUGCUGACCUCAGGUGGCUGCUCGGGGAGCCAUGGCCAGGCCUAGGCCCAGGAGAUAGCACUGAGGCAAGCCUGGCAUUGAGGAUUCAUUAGAGCAGCCCCACCUGGCCAGACAAUGUGGAGCCCAGGCCAGGCCCAGGCAGGCCCAGCGCUGGGGGAGGAGAGGCUUGGUUGGGUGCAGAGCCUACUCCCGGUCAUUCUGGUUUUCCUCGCUGCCAUCCUGUGGAUCUUGGGCAAGUGGCUGCCCUUCUCUGAGCCUCUUCACACAGUGAGGGCUUAUGGGCUACCUCCUGGGGAUGAGAGGACAAGCCAGGUCUCCAUCCAGGUCUCUUCAGGGUCUAGGAGGCUCUGGCCCAGAGGAGGGCUGACCGGGCCCCAGGCGAACCAGGGGAGGUGGCUGCCAGCUUUUGGAACCAGAGCUUAGGAGCUUUCCCUUGUGGCAGUCUUGGGAGGAGCGCGGUUGCCAUGGUCAGAGAGGCCCCCCUGGGGCUGCAUGGCUGGAUGGGAGCCCACCAGUGCCGGACGCACCAGGCAGCCACCCAGGAGUCAGCAUGUCAUGCUGGUGCCAAAGCCAGGCACCAAGACCUGCUUGGCUCUGCCACCAUUUCAGCACAUUUCUCCCCCUUUCUCCCAAGGAUAUGGAUUUUUGAAAUCCACAAACCCUCAGGCUCCUAUCUGCAAGCACCAGAUAGGGAUUUGAGGGCAUCUGAAUGAAGGGUGCAAGGGUGGCCUGGGCUGGGCUGAGCUUUUGAGGUUACAAACGGACCCGGGCUCUGGGAGAGGACAGGCUCCUUCAGCUCUUUCCAGGCUCGAAAGGGAAGACAGAAAACACCCGGGAAAUCUUAUUCCCUUUAUUCUCUUCAACUAAUCAACAUGACCACCGGUGACACAACACUGUUAUUGACACACAACACUCAAAAGUGGGGCCUCUCUUCACUCCAUGGAGACAAGUCAGGUUGCUGGCUGAGGAGGAGAGGAGCCAAGUGGGUGGGAUCUGUCCCCAUCCAAGACCACGAUCAGGCCGGGGCGUCACGACUUCAGAGAGCUCCAAGUACCAGGGGGAGGAAGGUGGCCAGGCCUCCGUAUGCCCUUCAGGGACCCAUGGCCCAGUCUGGGAGGGUGUUUGGACCCCCACCACUACGUGCAGGCUGGCUCAUCCCGCCAGCAGCCUCGCCAGCAGCUCAGAUGAAUAAGUGAGGUUUAAAAGCA